rnacentral:rRNA from 1 species
AACGAACGCUGGCGGCGUGGAUAAGACAUGCAAGUCGAACGAUUACUAGUGGGUAGCAAUAUUCGCUAGUGAGAGUGGCGCAAGGGUGCGUAACACGUGGGUAAUUUGCCGUGAAGUCUGGGAUAACUUGCUGAAAGGCGAGCUAAUACCGGAUGUGAUUACUGGAAGGCAUCUUCUGGUACUUAAAGUCGGGGACCGUAAGGCCUGACGCUUCUCGAUAAGCCCGCGGCCUAUCAGCUAGUUGGUGAGGUAACGGCUCACCAAGGCUAAGACGGGUAGCUGGUCUGAGAGGACGACCAGCCACACUGGAACUGAGACACGGUCCAGACACCUACGGGUGGCAGCAGUCGAGAAUUUUUUCUCAAUGGGCGAAAGCCUGAAGGAGCGACGCCGCGUGGGGGAUGAAUGGCUUCGGCCCGUAAACCCCUGUCAUUUGCGAUCAAACCUCACGACCUAACACGUCGUGAGCUGAUAGUAGCGGAAGAGGAAGGGACGGCUAACU